CCUUCCGUAGGGCGUACACUAACGACAGACGCCCGGAAGUGGGGCCACCGUUCUGUGACCCUGAGGCUGCUCCGACAGUAAAGCAAGCGGGUAGACACCGUACGACAGAUUUUCACUUAUUGAAAUGUCACUGGUGUAGCAGUUUGUGUCAAGAAAAGUGAGCACGUAUGUAGCUACCAGCUUCGCCCGGAAGCACGGGCAUGGUGGCUCCAUCCGAGCCCCAGAGAGCGCACCGGGUCCGUGCACGUUUGGCCAGCCUGUCCUGCUAGCGGGUCCUUUUUGAUUAGCUGUGCGCCCGUCACCACGCCUCGGCUUUCUUCGCAGCCGUGAUGACGAAGCUUGCCAAAGCAGUUCACAGUGAGCAAGAGACUGUUAAAAGGUGAAGAUCGGAUUUUCAGAACUCCUCCUGUAAAGACUGGAUUCUGAGUUUCCAAUGUUUUAGAACAGAACAGGGCAUUGGCCCUGCGAUCGCUUGCAGACUUGGCCAUGGCUGCGAGCGGCCUGUCCUGCUCUCUUAUCUGCUGACAAGCGUGCCUCACUCGUCUAAUGGUAUCAGUAUAAUAAGCCACCAAAAACUCCAGGCUGCUGGGCAGAUUUCUUUUAAGAAUCAAAAUGUAGGAAACCUUUAAGGCUAGAAGAAAACAUGACAAUUCAGUUUAAUUUUAGGGAUAAGUACACUCCCCUCAACAACCGACAAAACAUCCAAGUAGAAAAUAACUACCAGGGAUAAAGGUUGGCCUGGCUGCGUAUUUCUUUUCCAUUCUAGGGCAGAGAAACAGCACUAAGUGCCUUUCAGUAGGCGUGGCACUGACCGGGCCAGAGCACAGUGCUAUCACUUCACAGCCAGAGGCAGGAGGAAGGCAAGCAGGACCGUGAGCUGUCACGUAGCAGGGAGGCCCUGGUUGCACAACUCAUGAGUUUGAUGGACACCAUUUUUAUUUUUUUACGAUGAUUUCCAAUUUCUCAACGACUUUCAUUUUGACAUGACUCUUUCAUAACUAGACUAUCAAGAGUCUAGUUCACACAUAUAUGCCUCUUCUGAGUCCUCCUCAUUGUGCCAAUGUCCUUAGCAGGCUCUCUCCACCCCCCAGUCUCCUGCUCACACACCCCAGAUGAACAGCAUGGGCACCCUAUUAAGGAGAUCUGUACUGUCAGAGCUUUGAUUGACUUUUCUAAUGACUCAUAAGAAAAUAAUCUGGAUAAAGUUACACGUUCAAAGUUCGAUUUUAUUUCAAAAUGAUAAAUAAACUGGCAUAGUUCUGACUCUGUACUAUUUCAGAAAGGCUUGUGAAGUUCAUUAACAGUUUAGAGAGGGCUCCAGUCAGACCAGAAGGUUGCCAAAGUUGUGAUUGGCAGAGACAGCAGCCUCUUUGAUCUUCAGAGGUUUGUAAAAGCUCUCCACCCUAAUUUCUGAGUAUCAUAAAAAGUAAAAAGCACUUUUAUUCUGUCCUUUUCUCCUUUAAUUUUUUUUAAACCAGCAAAAAAGGACUACUUAUUUUUAUGACGUCAUUUUUAUGAGCACAACAGUUCUAUGUCAAUUACUUAGAGAAGGAAGCCCUCAGAGAUGUCAGUGGUGCUUCGGUCGUCCACCGAGGCCCACACUGACAGGUGCAUUCCAUGCUAUCAUUUCUACAAAGAGCCAUGAAGAAUGUUUGUAGACCCUAUGUACAGCAGUGUAGUCCACAUGUCCUUGAUGUGCGUCCAUACCACGAUCCAGUAACAACAGAGAGACCCCCCCUCUUGGAAAUCAAAAAGGGGAUGUGUAGGGGAAAGAGGGCUAACUCUUCUGGUGAGCAGCACACUAUUUUUAGAGUGCUUUGAAAGAACUAAAAUCCAUGACGCUGUAGUCAUUGAAUACUGGCCCUCAGUUAUAUUUUUCUUUUAAGUUGACUUUCUAUUAAAAUCUUCAAAUCUCUGGGGAUGGGUGGUAUAGUUAUAGACUAUAUUAAAAUUUUUCUUUUCCUCAUUAACAAUUUCAUUAAAAUUUAAAAAAUUACGAUGCCCCUCAACUGUUACGUUGAAGCCUGAUCUGUGUCACUGUGUCCUGUGCCGUGAACCUAAUUUCCCAAGUGGCCAGGACACCUGAGUGGCAUUUCCAGUGCUGCAGUUCCUUCCCUCAUGAUUCCUGCUGGGUCCUCUUCAUUGAGGCUCUUCCCUGAGUCAUAUAUUUACUGGAAAGGCUACCUAGGAGGGAAAAUAAAAUCCAACAUAAACGAAAGGCACGGUGUUUGAGCCAAACCACACAACACUUCUCAUCAGUCACCGACAGACACGGGUCCCACCACAAAGGGCACUUGUCCUGGGUCGAGCAGUCAGGCUAGGUGCACAGCCAUCAGAGGCGCUGGCCAGUGCUUUGGCACCGCUUCCUUAGUGCUGGUAAGGGACAGCCCUGAGGCUGUUCAAUGCAGCCACAGGCAGGAAGAAACAUUUUGAAAGUUCUUUUCAUAGGCUAUUCUUUUCAUUUGUAGCUCACAGACUGCAAAGAGAUCUCUAGCCAGAAUUUAGUACCUCAUACCAUUACCCUUUAGAAGUCUAGUAAUACCUUAUGGAUGUACAAGGAGAAAAUAAAAUCCUCUGUACUUAAUUAGUAGUGAAGCCACCCAUAGCUUACAACAUGUACUGUGUUCUGGAGUCUGAGCACGCACAAGAGGGAAUGAGAGCCCACGUGACUGCUACUGUACAAUGAAGUGGAAGGAAUGCAAAGGGUUUUUAGUAACUGGUACCAUGCCAAUACAGGCUUUAAAAGCAGAAUCUCACUGUGAGGCCUUGGAUGGCCUAGAAUCCAUGACAUAGCUAGCCUAGAAUUGAUAGAGAUUUGCCUGCUUCUGAGUGUGGGGAUUAAAUACUAUGCCAUGACUACCACAUCUGACUUGCACCCGUAACUUCUGAGGGGGAGAAGGAAGCUAGUUCCCUUUUCAAACUGUCACUCUUGUCAUUUCCAAGUGAAGUACAGAAUUAAAUGUAAG
ensembl:processed_transcript